CAGUCGCCGCGGUAAUACGUAGGGUGCGAGCGUUAAUCGGAAUUACUGGGCGUAAAGCGUGCGCAGGCGGUUGUGUAAGACAGGUGUGAAAUCCCCAGGCUUAACCUGGGAACUGCGCUUGUGACUGCGCAGCUAGAGUAUGGCAGAGGGGGGUGGAAUUCCACGUGUAGCAGUGAAAUGCGUAGAGAUGUGGAGGAACACCGAUGGCGAAGGCAGCCCCCUGGGCCAAUACUGACGCUCAUGCACGAAAGCGUGGGGAGCAAACAGGAUUAGAUACCCGAGUAGUCCCUGUCUCUUAUAC
rnacentral:rRNA from 1 species